GAUGAACGCUGGCGGCGUGCCUAAUACAUGCAAGUCGAGCGAACAGAUGAGGAGCUUGCUCCUCUGACGUUAGCGGCGGACGGGUGAGUAACACGUGGAUAACCUACCUAUAGGACUGGGAUAACUUCGGGAAACCGGAGCUAAUACCGGAUAAUAUAUUGAACCGCAUGGUUCAAUAGUGAAAGACGGUUUUGCUGUCACUUAUAGAUGGAUCCGCGCCGCAUUAGCUAGUUGGUAAGGUAACGGCUUACCAAGGCAACGAUGCGUAGCCGACCUGAGAGGGUGAUCGGCCACACUGGAACUGAGACACGGUCCCGACUCCUACGGGAGGCAGCAGUAGGGAAUCUUCCGCAAUGGGCGAAAGCCUGACGGAGCAACGCCGCGUGAGUGAUGAAGGUCUUCGGAUCGUAAAACUCUGUUAUUAGGGAAGAACAAAUGUGUAAGUAACUAUGCACGUCUUGACGGUACCUAAUCAGAAAGCCACGGCUAACUACGUG
rnacentral:rRNA from 1 species